rnacentral:misc_RNA from 1 species
UACGGAGGGUCCAAGCGUUAUCCGGAAUCAUUGGGCUUAAAGGGUCCGUAGGCGGGUUAAUAGGUCAGUGGUGAAAGUCUGCAGCUCAACUGUAGAAUUGCCAUUGAUACUGUUAACCUUGAGUAUUUAUGAAGUGGUUAGGAUAUGUAGUGUAGCGGUGAAAUGCAUAGAUAUUACAUAGUAUACCGAUUGCGAAGGCAGAUCACUAAUAAUUCACUGACGCUGAUGGACGAAAGCUUAGGUAGCGAACAGG